rnacentral:lncRNA from 1 species
GAAGAGAAUCGAACUCGCCAAGUCAACAAAUAUGUCUCGUUUUUGACUACACAAGACCAUCUGGACUAGUUUAAGUUUUGCAAAAUUGGCUCCGAAAUAAAUUUAAAGUCACCAACCCUGAAGCUAAUGCUUCAUCAGUCUAUGUCCAGGCACGGCUCUGCUUAUAGUAGGCAGCAACUUUGAUGCAAAAUCAUGGUACUUGUACCACCUUGAAUCACAAAACAAUAAAAGAUUAGAUGAGUAUGAGUUCAAUCAAAAAGGGAUAUAUACUUUAUUUAAUUUUUUACAUACUUUAUAAGGAUUUUGAGAAGGCAAUGGCGUUGGAGUAAUUAUAUUGGAAUUUAGCUUGACAAGGUUAAGUAACAUCUCGUCAUGAUCAUCUUCUUGUUCGUAGAACUUAUCGUCAAAAUCAGUACCAGGAAGAGGAGGUUUACCAAACAAACGGAGAUGAUUUGGUAAUGUGAAAAAGCCCCAGACCCUGAGAAGAAAAAUUCACGGACAUUGGUCAUUGUUGAACUUGCGGAUGAAGUGAGCUGCG